rnacentral:rRNA from 1 species
GUGCACCAGGCGCGAAUCCUUCGCAAUGCAGGAAACUGCGACGAGGGAACUCCAAGUGCCUACGCUCAGCGUAGGCUGUUCUCAAGCCUAGAAAGCUUGAGGAGUAAGGGCUGGGUAAGACGGGUGCCAUCUGUGGUAGCAGUCAAUAGAUUCGAUUUGUUACUGCAAGGCAUAAGCCGCCGCGGUAAUACCCGCAGCCCAAGUGGUGGCCGCUUUUAUUGGGCCUAAAGCGUCCGUAGCCGGCCCGGUAAAUGCCUGGGUAAAUCGUGGAGCCCAACUUCACGAAUUCCGGGUAGACUGCCGAGCUCGGGACCGGAAGAGGGAGAGGGUACUUCGAGGGGUAGGGUGAAAAUUUCCUUUCCAUUAACGCUUUGCGCGAAGCGGAAAGGGUUAU